rnacentral:lncRNA from 1 species
GUAUAUUUCUCACAACAGCUGUUCUAUGCCUCAUUUUAAUCCUUCCUCUGUCAGCCUAAACCCAAUCCUGCCUUCUCAUCUUUGACAGCAGCAGUCAACUUUUGUCUGUGGAAAACAACUUUGGCUUCAUUGAGAAAAGGAUAUAGAAAGCAGGAGGAUAUACCUGUCUUCAAGCACCAGCUGGUCAUCACAUGCAUGCCUGUACCACCAAGGAGGGCACUCAUAGGUCUCCUGCCUUACCACUAACCUUUUACAUGAGCACCUAGUAGAGGCCAGUGGGAAAAAGCUGAUAAGUGAGUAUAGUCUCUUUGUGUCUUGUAAAUUUUUUUAAUUUAUUUUUUGUGUGCUUGUUUUAUAGGAGCAGAUUGGAAAACUAGAUAAAAGUAGGGGCUAUAUCUGUUUUAGUUCCCAAUUGUAACUGCAACAUGCCUGUAGGAACUAAAACACUAUUUGUUAAAUGAACUUAUCUUUUAUUUUGCUUCUAAGUUUUCUUUUUAUAGAUAGCCCUGUAAUAACAGAAAGUAAUUGCAACUGCUUUCAUGCCUAACAGAUCACAGGGAAAAUAAAUUGAAUAGAAAUUCAAACCAGUGUAUUAGAGAACUAUAAUAUAUAUACAAUAUAUUAUGUAUUUAUAUUCUACCUUGUUCACAAAGGAUUUGGGAAAGAUAUUAUAAUACUAGCUCAU